rnacentral:rRNA from 1 species
AUAUUGCCCUACCCCAAGUCCAGCAAUGAGUAUGGUUAUUCAGACUUGGCCCAUAGAGGGUGAAAGGCCCGUGGGGGUGAGGUUCAGGCCAUGAUAAWAUUNUUCCUGGGGUUGACCUUGGAGUUCGGGUUGUUUGUGAUUGCAGCCCCAAAGUGGGGUGGUAAACUCCMUUCCAAGGCUAAAUACUUACACGAGUCCGAUAGCGAACAAGUACCGUGAGGGAAAGUUGAAAAGUACUUUGAAGAGAGAGUAAACAGUGCGUGAAACCGCUCAGAGGUAAACGGGUGGAGUUGAACUGCAAACUUUGAGAAUUCAGCUGGUGAGUGUGGUUUGGGCUUGGCCAUGGUGAUUGGUUUAGCGAGUCUGCUUAGCCGCAGGUCCUUACCCUAGGGUGGGGAUGCGCGAGGCACUUGUCAAGUGUUGCGCGCUCGUUGAAUUACUCGGAUCAACUUGCCAGUGCACUUUCUCAUUGUGUUCACCACGACCGGCGCUGCUGCCUGUCUGAUACGGUCAAACCGUUCUUGCAUUGUCCUUGUGGCUUUGCUUGGGCGGGAUGGCAGGUGACUCGUUGGCUUGUGUGUCGGCCAUUGGUUGGCAUGCGUUUGGCUUUCGGGUGUAAUCAGCUGGCUGUGUUGGUACUGUGCAGUGCGUCGGAGACGGCGGCUUGUUGUGUGUGCAUUCGUGCCUGCUCGCUGACGGUUCCGGGUUUGAUUGGUAUGUUGCCUGUCUCUGAUAGGCCUGGUAAUAGCUCGGUUCUGCUUGGUGGGCGGUUGCCUGUGUGUCACGUAUAAGGGCCUACAGUCUGUGGUGUGGUGGUAGACUAUCCACCCGACCCGUCUUGAAACACGGACCAAGGAGAGUAACAUGUGCGCAAGUCAUUGGGCGUUACGAAACCCAAAGGCGCAGUGAAAGUAAAGGCUUGGCUUGUCCGGGCUGUGGUGAGAUCCCUGUCGUUUUCUCACACGUGGUACUUCCAAGUGUUUGAGCGGCGGGCGCAUCACCGGCCCGUCCCAUGGCGUGGACACGGUCUUCGGGCUGUGCACCGUCGGGGCGGAGCAUGAGCGUACAUGUUGAGACCCGAAAGAUGG